AAAAUACUGCAGUGCAAAGGAAAAAUAAUGCAACACAGUAAAAAUACAAUAACUCACAAUAUUGCUGAUACACAAAAUAACAAAAUGCAAACUACAAAAAUACUGCAGUAGUCAGACAAGAGAUACUGCAACACAAAGAGCAAAAAUACUACAAUACUUAGAAAUAUUUCAAUAUACACAGCAAAUAUACUGCAGUUAAGAGUAAAAAUACUGCAGUUGCCAGAGUGUGUUACUGUGUGUGUUGUGUUGUUAUGUUGUGUGUUUUUAUUGUGUUAUUAUGUUGUGUGUUUGUAUUGUUGUGUUAUGUUAUGUUGUGUGUUUGUAUUGUUGUGUUAUGUUAUGUUAUGUGUUUGUAUUGUUGUGUUAUUUUGUUGUGUUUGUAUUUUCGUGUUAUGUUGUGUGUUUGUAUUGUUGUGUUAUGUUGUGUGUUUGUAUUUUCGUGUUAUGUUGUGUGUUUGCAUUGUUGUUUUGUUAUGUUGUGUGUUUGUAUUGUUGUGUUAUUAUGUUGUGUGUUUGUAUUGUUGUGUUAUUAUGUUGUGUGUUUGUAUUGUUGUGUUAUGUUGUGUGUUUGUAUUGUGUUAUGUUGUGUGUUUGUAUUGUUGUGUUAUUUUGUUGUGUUUGUAUUUUCGUGUUAUGUUGUGUGUUUGCAUUGUUGUGUUAUGUUGUGUGUUUUUAUUGUGUUGUUAUGUUGUGUGUUUGUAUUUUUGUGUUAUGUUAUGUUGUGUGUUUGUAUUGUUAUGUUAUGUGUUUGUAUAGUUGUGUUAUUUUGUUGUGUUUGUAUUUUCGUGUUAUGUUGUGUGUUUGCAUUGUUGUGUUGUUAUGUUGUGUGUUUGUAUUGUUGUGUUAUUAUGUUGUGUGUUUGUAUUGUUGUGUUAUUAUGUUGUGUGUUUGUAUUGUGUUAUGUUGUGUGUUUGUAUUGUUGUGUUAUUAUGUUGUGUGUUUGUAUUGUUGUGUUAUGUUGUGUGUUUGUAUUGUGUUAUUAUGUUGUGUGUUUGUAUUGUGUUAUGUUGUGUGUUUGUAUUGUUGUGUUAUUUUGUUGUGUUUGUAUUUUCGUGUUAUGUUGUGUGUUUGCAUUGUUGUGUUAUGUUGUGUGUUUGUAUUGUGUUAUUAUGUUGUGUGUUUGUAUUGUUGUGUUGUUAUGUUGUGUGUUUGUAUUGUUGUGUUAUUAUGUUGUGUGUUUGUAUUGUUUGUUAUGUUGUGUGUUGGAAUUGUUGUGUUAUGUUGUGUGUUUGUAUUGUGUUGUUAUGUUGUGUGUUUGUAUUGUUGUGUUAUUAUGUUGUGUGUUUGUAUUGUUGUGUUAUUAUGUUGUGUGUUUGUAUUGUUUUGUUAUGUUGUGUGUUGGAAUUGUUGUGUUAUGUUGUGUGUUUGUAUUGUUGUGUUAUUAUGUUGUGUGUUUGUAUUGUUUUGUUAUGUUGUGUGUUGGAAUUGUUGUGUUAUUAUGUUGUGUGUUUAUAUUGUUGUUAUUAUGUUGUGUGUUUGUAUUGUUGUGUUAUUAUGUUGUGUGUUUAUAUUGUUGUUAUUAUGUUGUGUGUUUGUAUUGUUGUGUUAUUAUGUUGUGUGUUUGUAUUGUUUUGUUAUGUUGUGUGUUUGCAUUGUUGUGUUAUGUUGUGUGUUUGUAUUGUGUUAUUAUGUUGUGUGUUUGUAUUGUUGUGUUAUUUUGUUGUGUUUGUAUUUUCGUGUUAUGUUGUGUGUUUGCAUUGUUGUGUUAUGUUGUGUGUUUGUAUUGUGUUAUUAUGUUGUGUGUUUGUAUUGUUGUGUUGUUAUGUUGUGUGUUUGUAUUGUUGUGUUAUUAUGUUGUGUGUUUGUAUUGUUUGUUAUGUUGUGUGUUGGAAUUGUUGUGUUAUGUUGUGUGUUUGUAUUGUGUUGUUAUGUUGUGUGUUUGUAUUGUUGUGUUAUUAUGUUGUGUGUUUGUAUUGUUGUGUUAUUAUGUUGUGUGUUUGUAUUGUUUUGUUAUGUUGUGUGUUGGAAUUGUUGUGUUAUGUUGUGUGUUUGUAUUGUUGUGUUAUUAUGUUGUGUGUUUGUAUUGUUUUGUUAUGUUGUGUGUUGGAAUUGUUGUGUUAUUAUGUUGUGUGUUUAUAUUGUUGUUAUUAUGUUGUGUGUUUGUAUUGUGUUGUUAUGUUGUGUGUUUUUAUUGUGUUAUUAUGUUGUCUGUUUGUAUUGUGUUAUUAUGUUGUGUGUUUGUAUUGUGUUGUUAUGUUGUGUGCUUUUAUUGUGUUAUUAUGUUGUCUGUUUGUAUUGUGUUAUUAUGUUGUCUGUUUGUAUUGUGUUGUUAUGUUGUGUGUUUUUAUUGUGUUGCUAAAAGUGUUGUUUUGUGUUUGUAUUGUUGUGUUAUUAUGUUGUGUGUUUGUAUUGUUGUGUCAGUCUCGCGGCCAGAGGCCCCUGCUGUCCCGGACCGCUCUCUGCGCAUGCUCGUUGUGGCAGUUCUCAGCACAUUGAAGUGUCGGAAGUUUAGCGGAGUUUUAGCCGACUAGCAGCAGAACGAAGCUCCGAGCGAACAAACUCGUUUUUGAGCUGCAAAAAGUGCGUUUGGACGGAACCCCGCAGCCCACAGUGAAGCCCGGAGGCCCGUCGAUGGAUUCGGCCCAUUUCCCUCUGUUGAAUCUCCGCACACGAGAGCUUUAGCGGCGUUUGAAAGAAGUUGUGAUUGUUUUUUUUGGCGCUCUGGCGGCGCAGAGGAAAGAUGGAGGAUCUGCGGCUGUAGCAGCGGCUAACGCUAGCUGGCCCGCCGCUCCAGUGGCAGCACCGUCCGCGGAGGAAUCUCAGCCGCUCCGCCGCCCGAAGGACGUCCCAAAACUUUGGAUGGUUUGAUCGAACACGCUACCGAAGCCCGAUCUGCUGUUUUUGUCCAGGACCUCUAAAGAAUGAGAGUCCUUCAGGCUCUGAGGAUGGAAGCAGCGCUACUGGAGGCAGGAUCUAG